GCGGAAUGGAAAGUCAGUGGUGAAAUCCUACAGCUUAACUGUAGAACUGCCUUUGAUACUUUCAUUCUUGAGUUCGGGAGAGAGAGACGGAAUUCCAGGUGUAGUGGUGAAAUACGUAGAUAUCUGGAAGAACACCAGUUGCGAAGGCGGUCUCUUGGUCCGAUACUGACGCUGAGGCGCGAAAGCGUGGGGGAGCAAACAGGAUUAGAAACCCUAGUAG
rnacentral:rRNA from 1 species